CCUACGGGUGGCAGCAGUGAGGAAUAUUGGUCAAUGGGCGCAAGCCUGAACCAGCCAAGUCGCGUGAGGGAAGACGGCCCUACGGGUUGUAAACCUCUUUUGCCGGGGAGCAAGCCUGAGCACGUGUGCCCAGGCGGAGAGUACCCGGAGAAAAAGCAUCGGCUAACUCCGUGCCAGCAGCCGCGGUACUACGGAGGGAGCGAGCGUUGUCCGGAUUUACUGGGUGUAAAGGGUGCGUAGGCGGCCCUGCAAGUCAGAAGUGAAAUCCAUGGGCUUAACCCGUGAACUGCUUUUGAAACUGCAGGACUUGAGGGGAGUAGAGGUAGGCGGAAUUCCCGGUGUAGCGGUGAUAUGCGGAGAGAGCGGGAGGAACACCAGUGGCGAAGGCGGCCUACUGGGCUUUAACUGACGCUGAAGCACGAAAGCGUGGGUAGCAAACAGGAUUAGAUACCCUUGUAGUC
rnacentral:rRNA from 1 species